rnacentral:lncRNA from 1 species
CGAGUGGGCGCCGUCUUCGCCUCCGGCCUCCUCCGCGCUAUCCGCUUCCUACAGCUCAACUGGCAGGAGCUCUCGCAGGACAUCGCCACCGGGACUCUCACUGUCAAGGUUACCGACCCGUCCGUCCGCGACUCAGUCGCGGAGCUCCUCAAGCCGGACCCUGAGCUCGCCCGGUUCAUCGUCGCCGAGUGCUCCAAGGGGGAGUGGUCCGGGAUCGUCACCCGGAUCUGGCCCAACACCAAGUACCUUGACGUGAUCGUGACGGGCGCCAUGGCGCAGUACAUCCCCACCCUGGAGUACUACAGCGGGGGCCUCCCCAUGGCGUGCACCAUGUACGCGUCGUCCGAAUGCUACUUCGGCCUCAACCUCAAGCCCAUCUGCGACCCCUCCGAGGUCUCCUACACCAUCAUGCCCAACAUGGCCUACUUCGAGUUCCUGCCGCACGGAGGCGACGGCCUCUCGGUGGGGGACAAGGCACAGCUGGUGGACCUGGCGGACGUGGAGGUGGGGAAGG